rnacentral:rRNA from 1 species
GAUGAACGCUGACAGAAUGCUUAACACAUGCAAGUCUUUGGCGAAGCUGUGCUUGCACAGCCUAGCCAAGGCGGACGGGUGAGUAACGCGUAAGGAACUUGCCCUGCAGUCAGGGAUAACAGACGGAAACGACUGAUAAGACCUGGUAAAGUCAGGCGGACUCAUGUCCAGCCUGAUGAAAAGAGAUGCUGCAGGAGAGCCUUGCGUCCUAUUAGCUUGUUGGUGGGGUAACGGCCCACCAAGGCGAUGAUAGGUAGCCGGCCUGAGAGGGUGGACGGCCACAAGGGGACUGAGAUACGGCCCUUACUCCUACGGGAGGCAGCAGUGGGGAAUAUUGGACAAUGGGGGCAACCCUGAUCCAGCAAUUCUGUGUGCACGAUGAAGGUUUUCGGAUUGUAAAGUGCUUUCAGCAGGGAAGAAAAAAAUGACGGUACCUGCAGAAGAAGCGACGGCUAAAUACG